GACGAACCGUGCGAACGUUAUUCGGAAUCACUGGGCUUAAAGCGCGUGUAGGCGGAUCGGCGCGUCGGCGACUGAAAGCCCCCGGCUCAACCGGGGAAGCGGCGCCGAAACGGCCGGUCUGGAGGGGCGUAGGGGGACCUGGAACUUCCGGUGGAGCGGUGAAAUGCGUUGAGAUCGGAAGGAACGCCCGUGGCGAAAGCGAGGUCCUGGACGCCUGCUGACGCUGAGACGCGAAAGCCAGGGGAGCGAACGGG
rnacentral:rRNA from 1 species